UUGGAAUCCGAUAAAUAAUAGAUCAAAGAAUCGCGAACGGAGAAGAGACGGGCAUAUUUUUAUACUGUGCUGCAGUAAUGUGUAUUUGCGAGAUAAAUACUGCUCCUCAAAACGGAUGAUGGGCUUUAAAAAAAAAAAAAAAAAAAAAAAAAAAAAAAAAAAAAAAAAAAUAAAAAACAAAAUAACAAAUAAAUAAAUAAAUAAA